rnacentral:rRNA from 1 species
GGAUGCGAUCAUACCAGCACUAAUGCACCGGAUCCAUCAGAACUCCGAAGUAAGCGUGCUUGGGCAGAGAGUAGUACUAGGAUGGGUGACCCCCCUGGGAAGUCCUCGUGUUGCAUCCC